UGCUGGCACCUUGAUCUUGGACUUUCCGGGCUUCAGAAUAAAAUAAAUUAAAUACAUUUUCUCUGUAAAACAACCAAAAAGCUUUUAAGAAAACAGUGAAUCUUCUAUAAAAACAAUGACUAGCUACUUGUUUUCUGAGACAUGUACAUGAAACCAGAGCCUAUUUUCUAGAGGAUCUCAUUGUCAAUGAGCAGAUGGCCGCUCUGCUGGUCAGAAGAGCUUCUUCAUGAACUAAGGGGCCACUGAAUCUCAUUAAUGUUUUUUGCUUCUUGGCUGCUGUUGGAGGAACGUAAAAUUCUUUGCAAAGUGUGAACAAAUGGUGUCGACUCAUCUGUUUAUUAAGGACAUGAGAGCCUACAUAGUAUCUUAGAGCUCCAAACGCCAAUGAAGUUGAUUUUAGAACACUGAUUAUUGUUUAUGGGCAGGGCAGGCUUGGACAGGUUUUGACAUGUGUAUCCCUGUCCAGCAAGACUCGGACAUGGGGUGGGGAGCUUCAAGUGGUGGUCAAGGGUGAAUUCUAUUCUGAGAAGGUUCUGGUUUGUUUUUCCUGCACUGCCCACUUCCUUCCUUAAGGAGCUACUUCCUCUUAAACGACAUUUCCUUGCCCCAUAUUAGCACAGGGCCACGUGCACAGUAAGGGUGAGAUAGGGUGGUAAUCCACAGGGUUGAGCGCUUACAGAUUCUCUCUCCUCCAGCUAUGUCGACUGCAGCUGCUCACCCGGGAACCAAAGGCCAACUUUCUCACCCAGCAAAUAACAUAAUGCAUUGGUGUUCGCUACAAAAGCGGGAACUUGGAACCAUUCUUUCUGUUUUUCUUCGGCCACACCUCAUGCUAUGCAAAAGCUCCCUGACCAAGGAUCAAACCAGCACCCCUUCCCCCGUGGAAGCGCAGCGUCCCAACCACUGGACCAGCAGGAAAGGACCAAACCAUCACUUCUUAUAUGGAGAUAGACUUGAUUGUAUUUUCUUCACAAAGGGAAUCCUUGUGGCUUUUUAAAAACAUGUUGCUGUGUUCAGCUGCUGGCAUCUCCACAAGACACAAAUAACCUAGGAAUCCCUACAUAUCGGCACAUCCAACUUAGCCCACUGUUUACUCUGAUUUACUCCCAGUCUGUCACAACGGCCCCUCUUGAAUUCUUAGCUCCCUAAUCAGUAUGGUGGCAGCUGUUCUAAACAGAGGUGACCCUGUUUCACUUAGCCACUGGUCUCAGCAGCAGACACAGUAUGGGGUCAGAGGUAAAGCAAUAUUAGGAGACCAGAGAGUCAAACUUACAGGGUUGGGGAGACCAACAGUUCUGGGGCAAGGAAUGCUGAAGCUGGGUUGGGGGUUAAUGUGCGGGGACAGUUCUCCAGUCAACCGCACACAGUAACUAGGUAGCCAUUCUUAUUUCUUUGCCAUUCCAACCUGACCAUUCAACUAAAAUCGCAGACUCUGGGGUGUGAAGAAAACCAGGACUGAAAGGCUGCUCCCCACAAUCCAUCUUCACAUCAAGUGAUAUUAAGGGUGCCUUGGCAACUGCAAGAGAAGCAGCAUGUUUACCGCGCCACUUCUGGAAUUUCAAAUUCAAGUAUAAGCUAUUUCUGUACAUUCAUAAAACAUCGUACUGUAUUAGAGUUCUUAAAAAUACCCAUUUAUUUCAUUACAUUGUCUUCUUCUGUAAUAGGUGAAAAAAUUGUUUUAGCAUGAAAGAAAUAAAGCUCUUCCAUGAUUGGUUCUGUUUGCUUGUUUUCUCUGAAGGAGCAAUAAUAUCUGGGGAAGAAAUAAUGGCACGUAUAGCAAACAAAAAAUAUUAAAAGGAUAGUAUCUGUUCACAUUUUUGACUACUGCUAAAUAGAUAUUUUACAACUCUGGUUUAUGUUUGUGUAUAAGCCCUUGGCCACUGUGAUCCUCAUUUCAGACAGAUGUUUCUAUUUUCAUCUGAAGUUUCAAUACAUUUUUUAGUAUGUUCUCUUUCUUCCUAAUAGUUAAAAUUUUCUUUUCAAAAGAUAAUGUAUUUUAAAGACUGACUCUCUUUUUUAUUUUUCAUUUUUUAAAUUUUACUUUACAAUACUGUAUUGGUUUUGCCAUACAUCAACAUGAAUCCACCACGGGUGUGCUGAGUUCCCAAUCCUGAACCCCUCUUCCACCUCCCUCCCCAUACCAUCUCUCUGGGUCAUCCCAGUGCACCAGCCCCAAGCAUCCUGCAUCCUGCAUCAAACCUAGACUGGCGAUUCGUUUCUUACAUGGUAUUAUACAUGUUUCAAUGCCAUUCUCCCAAAUCAUCCCACCCUCUCCCUCUCCCUCUCCCAUAGAGUCCAGAAGUCUGUUCUAUACAUCUGUGUCUCUUUUGCUGUCUUGCAUACAGGCUUAUCAUUACCAUCUUUCUAAAUUCCAUAUAUGUUACUGCUACUGCUGCUGCUAAGUUGCUUCAGUCGUGUCCAACUCUGUGCGACCCCAUGGACGGCAGCCCACCAGGCACCCCCAUCCCCAGGAUUCUCCAGGCAAGAACACUGCAGUGGGUUGCCAUUUCCUUCUCAAAUGCAGGAAAGUGAAAAGUGAAAGUGAAGUUGCUCAGUCGUGUCCGACCCUCAGCGACCCCAUGGACUGCAGCCUUCCAGGCUCCGCCGUCCAUGGGAUUUUCCAGUCAAGAGUACUGGAGUGGGGUGUCUGUGCGUUAGUAUACUGUAUUGGUGUUUUUCUUUCUGGCUUACUUCACUCUGUAUAAUCGGCUCCAGUUUCACCCACCUCAUUAGAACUGAUUCAAUGUAUUCUUUUUAAUGGCUGAGUAAUACUCCAUUGUGUAUAUGUACCAUAGCUUUCUUAUCCAUCCACCUGCUGAUGGACAUCUAUAAAGACUGACUCUUAUUCUUAAUUUUAUUCAGGUCAUGUAGUAUAUUUCAUGGAAGGAAAUUUGCAUAGGAUAAGCAUGUACUCCAAAGGAAUUUUAAGUAAAGGCCCUAUACUCCCACAUUCAGCGUGCACCUCAUCUUCCAGCACACUGUUUCAGUUGCAACAAAAUAUUUAAACCCAUUAAUGAACAUCAAAUAAUCUGGCCUGUCAUCUGGAUAUUUCGUCAACACAAUGUUUUGAUACUUGGAUAUUUCUGAGUUGUUCAUUUCAUCCAGCUGUUUGAUAAUUAAAUAAAUACAACCUUCAUAUGCCAUAAAUCCUCAGAGCAAGAGAGUCUGGGAUUGAGGAUCUGGUUGCAGGAAUGAAUCCUACUGGUUUAUCAUCUGUCUCUGAGGCUAACUAACAUCAUAAUAACUGAAUGCCAUGGAGUCUCAACCAUUGAUAAGCUACAACAAUUAAAUUUUUUCUUUGUCUUUCUUUUUUUUCUUUCUUAUUUUUAAAACAAUGGAGUAUAUUCAAGGCAGUGUUAAGCCCUGAAUCACACUGUAAUUAUUUUUCACACAGCUUAUUUGCAUUCACAAUAACCUGAUAACAGCAUGCAAUUCACUCCAAGCUAGAGACUGGUCCAUCAUCCAUUAGCUGAAGACAAACACAGGUUCCAAUAAAACAUUUAGUAAGUGGCUGGGUAAUUCAGGACAGGUCUAUUUCAAGCCUAUUUCCUGUUUACAUAAGCAUUCAAGUCUAAUUCUAAUUAGCAUUCUGAAAUCAGCCUUAAUUAGUACAUAUAUUUUGGAUAGUUCAUUUAAGAAAACACACAGCCUGUGAAGAAAAGAUUUGUAUACAUGGAGAUCUGAGGACAAUAUUACAAAUGAAGAAAACUGUUUCUAAGCGCUACCAUUUCAGAUCAAAGGAGGCUAGAUAGGGAAACAUUUGCCAAGUGGUAGAAAUACCUUUGCUUGGUUCUUUUUUUAAACAUGUGUCUUAGGUCGAACAUAAAAUAAAACAGUGGUGCAUGUAAGUUAUAUCUGUAGAAUGAACAUUUGAGAGUUACAUGGAUUAAAUUUUGAAGCCUCACUCAACCAUAAAAGGCACACAAAUGCUGGGAAGUUGAAUUUUGGGGGGUUGUUUUCACAAAGAAAUGAGUUGUAUAUAAAGAUUAAAAAGCCCAAAUUACUGAUUUAUAAAUAUUGUUUAAAAGAAGACAAACCAGAAAAUAUUUUGAGAACUUUAGGAGGACUUGAG
ensembl:lincRNA